rnacentral:rRNA from 1 species
GGCAGCAGUAGGGAAUCUUCCGCAAUGGACGAAAGUCUGACGGAGCAACGCCGCGUGAGUGAUGAAGGUUUUCGGAUCGUAAAGCUCUGUUGUUAGGGAAGAACAAGUACCGUUCGAAUAGGGCGGUACCUUGACGGUACCUAACCAGAAAGCCACGGCUAACUACGUGCCAGCAGCCGCGGUAAUACGUAGGUGGCAAGCGUUGUCCGGAAUUAUUGGGCGUAAAGGGCUCGCAGGCGGUUUCUUAAGUCUGAUGUGAAAGCCCCCGGCUCAACCGGGGAGGGUCAUUGGAAACUGGGGAACUUGAGUGCAGAAGAGGAGAGUGGAAUUCCACGUGUAGCGGUGAAAUGCGUAGAGAUGUGGAGGAACACCAGUGGCGAAGGCGACUCUCUGGUCUGUAACUGACGCUGAGGAGCGAAAGCGUGGGGAGCGAACAGGAUUAGAUACCCUGGUAGUCCACGCCGUAAACGAUGAGUGCUAAGUGUUAGGGGGUUUCCGCCCCUUAGUGCUGCAGCUAACGCAUUAAGCACUCCGCCUGGGGAGUACGGUCGCAAGACUGAAACUCAAAGGAAUUGACGGGGGCCCGCACAAGCGGUGGAGCAUGUGGUUUAAUUCGAAGCAACGCGAAGUACCUUACCAGGUCUUGACAUCCUCUGACAAUCCUAGAGAU